rnacentral:rRNA from 1 species
UACGUAGGGGGCUAGCGUUGUCCGGAAUCAUUGGGCGUAAAGCGCGCGUAGGCGGUCAGGUAAGUCCGGUGUGAAAGUCAAAGGCUCAACCUUUGAAUGCCGCUGGAUACUGCCUGACUUGAGUCCGGAAGGGGCGAGUGGAAUUCCUGGUGUAGCGGUGAAAUGCGCAGAUAUCAGGAGGAACACCAAUGGCGGAGGCAGCUCGCUGGAACGGUACUGACGCUGAGGCGCGAAAAGCGUGGGGAGCGAACAGG